GUGAGGAAUAUUGCGCAAUGGAGGCAACUCUGACGCAGCCAUGCCGCGUGCAGGAAGAAGGCGCUACGCGUUGUAAACUGCGUUUAACCGGGAAGAAACCCCAGGACGUGUCCUGGGUUGACGGUACCGGAGGAAUAAGCACCGGCUAACUUCGUGCCAGCAGCCGCGGUAAUACGAAGGGUGCAAGCGUUAUCCGGAUUCAUUGGGUUUAAAGGGUGCGUAGGCGGAGCGUUAAGUCAGUGGUGAAAUCCUGCAGCUUAACUGUAGACUUGCCAUUGAUACUGGCGCUCUUGAGUGCGCUUGAAGUGGGCGGAAUGUGCCGUGUAGCGGUGAAAUGCUUAGAUAUGGCACAGAACACCAAUUGCGAAGGCAGCUCACUAAGGCGAUACUGACGCUGAGGCACGAAAGCGUGGGGAUCGAACAGGAUUAGAUACCCGGGUAGUCC
rnacentral:rRNA from 1 species